ACCAAGUGUUAAAGAGGCCGCUGUGACAUUGGUUACAAGAACUGGAACGUCAUUUAAGAUGGUGACAGGGUCUCGGCUACGGAUAAACGCCCGGGGGUAGAUGUGCGGGCUCUUCCUCAUCAACUUGAACACAAUCUUGGUCUUGCACCAGAAAACCAUAAAUCCCCUUUCACCAUUCCCCUCCCUCAUACAUCUUGAAGCCGUAGAGAGGGCACAACUGCAGUUACGAAAAGGGUCUGUGUUGGGAUCUUACCGGGAUGUUGUCUGAUCUGAGUGGACCCAGCUUCCAGGGCCAGCUGGUCUCGUCCACCACUCUACAGUUCAACCUGAGGAAGGCCUGCCUCUGAGCCAGUAGAGGCCUCAUCGACCUGCUGCUCAGAUGGGACGACGAGGAUCGUGCUAUGAAAGACCUACCACCCCAACGCUUCUCUGUUCACGACCCAGCACCCCAACGCUUCUCUGUUCACGACCCAGCACCCCAACGCUUCUCUGUUCAAGACCAAGCACCCCAACGCUUCUCUGUUCAAGACCAAGCACCCCGACACUGCUCUGUUAAAGACCAAGCACCCCAACGCUUCUCUGUUCAAGACCAAGCACCCCGACACUGCUCUGUUCAAGACCAAGCACCCCGACACUGCUCUGUUCAAGGCCCUGCUCCCCAACACUGCUCUGUUCAAGGCCCUGCUCCCCAACACUGCUCUGUUCAAGGCCCUGCCCCAACCUAUGCUCUGUUCAAGGCCCUGCUCCCCAACACUGCUCUGUUCAAGGCCCUGCUCCCCAACACUGCUCUGUUCAAGGCCCUGCUCCCCAACACUGCUCUGUUCAAGGCCCUGCUCCCCAACACUGCUCUGUUCAAGGCCCUGCUCCCCAACACUGCUCUGUUCAAGGCCCUGCUCCCCAACACUGGGUUCACCUUCUCACCACUUCCAUCAAAUCCUGUCCUCGGGCUCAUCAAAGUGGCAGAGUGGACAUCUGAAGGAUACUCAUUGAGGAAACCAUUGACUGCCAGGACGUCACUUCAGGGACAUGAGUCAACCUUGUUUAUAAUUUGUACACACCCAGCACAACCAAUGACUGACCGUGGUCAGUACUGGAUGUUCACUGUUGGAAGUGUUCAAGAAUAUUGGACAAACGUAGAAUUGACGACUAGUUCAACCUAGCAUAGUAAUUCAUGUGUGGGCGAGGCCAGGAUUCUUCAGGUGGCCAGGGUUCUACCUUGCCUGGGGUUCUUCAUGUGGGUGUGGUCCGGGUUCUAGCUGGCCUCUGGUUCUUCAUGUGGUCCGGGUUCUACCUGGUUGUUCUCCACAUGGUCCGGGUUCUACCUGGUUGUUCUCCACAUGGUCCGUGUUCUACCUGGUUGUUCUCCACAUGGUCCGGGUUCUACCUGAUUGAUCUCCACAUGGUCCGGGUUCUACCUGAUUGAUCUCCACAUGGUCAGGGUUCUACCUGGUUGUUCUUCACAUGGUCGGGGUUCUACCUGGUUCUCCACAUGGUCAGGGUUCUACCUGGUUGUCCUCCACAUGGUCAGGGUUUUACCUGGUUCUCCACAUGGUCAGGGUUCUACCUGGUGGUUCUCCACAUGGUCAGGGUUUUACCUGGUUCUCCACAUGGUCAGGGUUCUACCUGGUUGUUCACAUCUUCAGGUGGUCUACCUGGCCUGGGGGUCUUCGGGUGGUCAGUGUUCUACCUGGCCUGGUUGUUCUUGAGGUGGUCAGGGUUCGACCUGGCCUGGGGGUCUUCAGGUGGUCAGUGUUCUACCUGGCCAGGUUGUUCUUGAGGUGGUCAGGGUUCGACCUGGCCUGGGGGUCUUCAGGGGGACAGGGUUCGACCUGGCCUGGGGGUCUUCAGGUGGACGGGGUUCGAUCUGGCCUGGGGGUCUUCAGGUGGUCGGGGUUCGACCUGGCCUGGGGGACUUCAGCCGGGCAAGGCCGUCGUUCGACGUGACGUGGCAUUCUUGGUGUUCACACUUGCAUCACGAAAAAUGUGAAUGGUCAUUCAUGCUUGAAAGACUGCGCCGUAGCUGCCCUUGCUACCCCGACGUGAUCGAUGGCUGGUAAGCCCUGUGGAUUGUAUCUUCUGGACUCCUGUGCUGGGAUGCAUGUCUUUCUUGGGCUGAAUUUUAAUGUAUUGGACGAGGCUAGCUGGACCUGGGAGAUGGUUCCCCUUUGAAUCAGAAACCAUCUUGGAAACAUCCCAACUAUGGUUCUCUUCAAGCUGCAGUUCUUCUCUUCUUCAGAUGAGGUGAAGAAAUCCUCACUGGAUCUUCAAGAUCUAUGAAGAGGAAUAUUGAAAUGUGCACUGGUUCUCUCCCUUAAGCGCUGUGGUGUAUUCUAGUCGCUGAGAAGGAGCCCUCCCAUCCUACUCAUGGUGUUUCUCCUUGGACUCCCUGUCACUGUGUUGACGGAUGUUCCAGGUCACGUAAAUGACGGGUGGGGGGCAUGUCUACAGAACGGUAGACUUUCGACAGCACUGUAUCCUAGCAUGCAUCGCUUGUCAGACAGACCACACCCGGAUCAAUAUGGCGAUGCUCAUGUGAUAUGAAGCGAGGAAGUGGCCAAAAGAAAUGAGAUUAGUUUAUUUUGUACUCUAGCAUUGUUAAUUAGUUAAAUGUUAAUGUUAGCUGAAAUGUUUAGUCAAAAUGAUUUGUACAUAAACCAACGGCAACAAACUACCAGAUCGUCUACGGUAAGUCUGUUGGCUGUAUUGUGCAACGAGACGACCAAAGAAUCACCAAGAUGUGCAUCGUCGUUCCGCAUCGUCGUUCCGCUCAAGGUGAGGUGCUGGUUACGUUACUUAUGGGUGGUUCAUACUGGAACGUUACGAUUCCAGUAUGACAGGGUUUGGGCUUACUGCGGAGGUUGGUGGUUAGCUUUGUGCAUGUUGUGGACCUCUAAGGCUGCAGUACUGCGUAUGGUGGAUGUUGAGUCACCUGGGAGGGCAACUGGCAGUACGAUUGGGAUUUGCGUAACCUCAUCCGCACCUUAUUAUGGCGUCUGGCAGUAUGAUCCAUAUCGGCCUUUGCGUUAACCGCAUCACUAAUGAGCGUACCCAAUUAAAGUAAUUUGGCAGUUCCCCAUUGCUAUCGGUAACCAUCUGCGAUAUUUGGUAAAUUUAUUUUGCUCUAGGUACAGCACACUUAAAAGAACUAUGUUUAAAGUUAUCCCACAAAUACCGCACAACGACUUUGAUAAUUGUCCUCCAAAAGCGACUCGCAUUUUUGGCGUACACAUUUUCGGGUCGCGUAAAUGAUGCAGAGAUCGGCAUCUCCAUACUACGGCUUUUUGGAUCUUCAACGACCCAGCAGCUGAAUGAGGCUUGGUAUCAUUUUACUAUCAUAAAUUACUAUCGAUAAUGCUAGUGCUUUAAAUACCUGGGCUGUAAUUGGCCCGGUUAUAUCCAACCAAAUGGAAGUUAAAUUACAGCUACAGAGCCGAGAUUGUAACUAGUUUUUCACGAGCUGAAUUUUGCUUCAGUGCUUUGGCUGAAUAACUUAACUCUUUAGUCUCCUAGACUUCAGAAACAAAAGGAAAGGUUCAAUGUAAACGUGCUUAAUUGCGUAAAAACAAAUGGCAUAGCUGUCCAGUUGAGUCAAGUAAAUGGUUGCAAAUGCUCAACGUUGUGAUGUUUGUAAACGGGUGAAUGUUGUGUUAACAGUGGGGAACUCCAGGCCUUGCUGUCUUGAAGCUGUAUGAUGCGCAAUAUGUCACUCCAACCCCACAGACCAUGAAUCCUUGGCUGAAGAGAGCUGUUGAAGGAACCAUGCAUCUGGAGGAAGACCUUGACUCUACCUGCCAACCAGUAGUACUGUAAGUUUGCAUGAACUGAACAUGGUGGACUUGAGGCGAAAUCACUGCUGUUUGUUCCAGACCAGGACUCGGUGGUGGCGGGGCGCUGAUGGAGCCGUGCUGAGGACCUGCAGGUGAAGGACGUCCCUUGUGGGGGUAAUGACAAGACACUGAGAUGACGUAGAUGAAUCACCAGGAUCCGCUUGGAGGCUACGAUGUGACUGCUGAGCUUUCUGGAAGUCCCGGAGUCCUUGGCGGAGGAGAGCUGAUGGAGGAGCAGGGCAUCUGGAGAAGGACCAUGAAUCUACCUGCCAACCGGUAGCACUGCCCUGUUUGUCCUCAACAGGAAGGCAGGGCAGAGGCAGGUGAUGGGAGAUCCUACCUGGUGAAGGAUCUCUGGGUGGGGCGAGUGACACCCGACUCCAGGGGACGACCACUGCGGAGAGGGCUGAAGGAGGAGCAUGCAUCUGGAAGUGGGGAACUCCAGGCCUUGCUGUCUUGAAGCUGUAUGAUGCGCAAUAUGUCACUCCAACCCCACAGACCAUGAAUCCUUGGCUGAAGAGAGCUGUUGAAGGAACCAUGCAUCUGGAGGAAGACCUUGACUCUACCUGCCAACCAGUAGUACUGUAAGUUUGCAUGAACUGAACAUGGUGGACUUGAGGCGAAAUCACUGCUGUUUGUUCCAGACCAGGACUCGGUGGUGGCGGGGAGCUGAUGGAGCCGUGCUGAGGACCUGCAGGUGAAGGACGUCCCUUGUGGGGGUAAUGACAAGACACUGAGAUGACGUAGAUGAAUCACCAGGAUCCGCUUGGAGGCUACGAUGUGACUGCUGAGCUUUCUGGAAGUCCCGGAGUCCUUGGCGGAGGAGAGCUGAUGGAGGAGCAGGGCAUCUGGAGAAGGACCAUGAAUCUACCUGCCAACCGGUAGUACUGGAAGGCAGGGCAGAGGCAGGUGAUGGGAGAUCCUACCUGGUGAAGGAUCUCUGGGUGGGGCGAGUGACACCCGACUCCAGGGGACGACCACUGCGGAGAGGGCUGAAGGAGGAGCAUGCAUCUGGAAGGUGCAGUUGAAAUGGCGUGUUCAUUCUGGGGCAGACACACCUGAGCUGCAUCACAACUGUAACUCUGACCUGCUGGAGUCCUCCGGAGGUCAACAUACGGCGCCUCAUCACAGCUCCUCGCUGGCCUGCGAAUUAAUCUGCUCCACUCACAGCACGUCACCAUGUGCUGCACGUUGGGAUGCUCCCAAUGUGUUCCAUCGAGGGUUCCUUCCUCGAAACUGGGAGGGCCCCUUCCUCUCCACACUGGGAGGGUUCCUUGUCCUUCAAGGCGUCGGGGUUCAGUGUUAGGGACAGAGUUAGGGACAGAUGGUUGAGCUGGUUUUACGAUAUACGCUUUGUGUUCAAGGGUGGAUGGACAUCCGACAACGCUUCCCCCAAAAUGUUUUAAUGUGCAAACGCUUUGUAAAAUGUAUACUAAUGUUUUUUUUAUUUAAAAUCAUGUUUAACCAAUUCUACCUGGUUGUGUGGCUUUUUCUGUAUGUUUUGCA